AAUCAACGCUGGCGGCGUGCCUCAGACAUGCAAGUCGAACGAGAACCUCCCUUCGGGGAGGAGACAGUGGCGCACGGGUGAGUAACACGUGGGUAAUUUACCUUUGGGUGGGGAACAACAGCCGGAAACGGCUGCUAAUACCGCAUAAUGCAGCGGCUCGACAUCGAGACAGUUGUUAAAGCGGGGGAUCGCAAGACCUCGCGCCUGAAGAGAAGCCUGCGGCGGAUUAGCUAGUUGGUAGGGUAAUGGCCUACCAAGGCGACGAUCUGUAACCGGCCUGAGAGGGCGGUCGGUCACACUGACACUGACAUACGGGUCAGACUCCUACGGGAGGCAGCAGUCGGGAAUUUUGGGCAAUGGGCGAAAGCCU
rnacentral:rRNA from 1 species